UACGGAGGAUGCAAGCGUUAUCCGGAUUUAUUGGGUUUAAAGGGUGCGCAGGUCGUUUGAUAAGUCAGUGGUGAAAGUCUGUCGCUUAACGGUAGGAUUGCCAUUGAUACUGUUGGACUUGAAUAUGGAUGAGGUAGGCGGAAUGUGUAGUGUAGCGGUGAAAUGCAUAGAUAUUACACAGAACACCGAUUGCGAAGGCAUCUCACAAAGCCGUUAUUGACGCUGAGGCACGAAAGUGUGGGGAUCAAACAGGAUUA
rnacentral:rRNA from 1 species